UGGGGAAUAUUGGACAAUGGGGGCAACCCUGAUCCAGCCAUGCCGCGUGUGUGAAGAAGGCCUUUUGGUUGUAAAGCACUUUAAGCAGUGACGAAGACUCCAUGGUUAAUACCCAUGGACGAUGACAUCAGCUGCAGAAUAAGCACCGGAUAACUCUGUGCCAGCAGCCGCGGUAAUACAGAGGGUGCAAGCGUUAAUCGGAAUUACUGGGCGUAAAGCGAGCGUAGGUGGCUUGAUAAGUCAGAUGUGAAAGCCCCGGGCUUAACCUGGGAACGGCAUCUGAUACUGUUAGGCUAGAGUAGGUGAGAGGAAGGUAGAAUUCCACGUGUAGCGGUGAAAUGCGUAGAGAUCUGGAGGAAUACCGAUGGCGAAGGCAGUCUUCUGGCAUCAUACUGACACUGAGGUUCGAAAGCGUGGGUAGCAAACA
rnacentral:rRNA from 1 species